UUCAAGCUAUCUGUAGGAUCAUACCAUUCUAUAUGAGCCUUCUCAGCUUUUAAGAUCUUCUGAGGAGCCCUUGUCUUGGUUCCAACACCUUCCCAAGCUUGUUUGGCAAGGACACAAGAGGGCCUCCCCAGUGGUUGCUCCCAGGCUCUGGAAUGAACUGCCCUGAGAAUCCAGGUUGUCCCCCUCCCUCUUGUCCUUUCAUUGUGAGGAAAAGACCUCCCUCUUCAGGCAGGCUUUUAAGCAGACACUGGUGGUAGCUGGAGGCAUCAGGCAUAGGGCAACACACAAUGGCAGGAUACAGGUGGGCCCUGUUGAAUAUGGCUGUGAUGGAGGGCAGUCACACAACUCACAAAAUUCAAGAGGCUUUGAGGGACAUGCUGUGGCAGUGGAGUCUAGCUACAGAAAGAUAGCAGCUAUGGGAGACACAAAUCCUACACAGAGGAUUUUUUCUUUUUGCAAGACAGUCCUUUUAUGACUAAAGGGAAAUAUAAGAAAGCUCGUAUACAAUGGUCACUUUUGAAGAAAGGUUUUUUUAAACUUUAAAUUCUUUUUUAUAUGCAAA